ACGCUCGUGAUUGCAAAAAGACGGAUAUCCGUAGACGAAAAAAGCCCUCCUGCCUAUGUCCAGAUUUCCUAAUGAUGUUUCCUUUACCGUUAGAGCAAACGAUAAUUCACAAAGAAUACACACAUAAUUUUUAGGAAAGUCAGAGGUGCGUACCUUCGUCUCUUGGCCAUUCCACUCCAAACUAAGCUCUGACUUCAUAAUGAAGAAUCCUCAACUCUACAUCCGUCUGGAUUUCAUACGAAACGCCCUCUAAUUCCCCAUUUUCCAUAAGGUCGGCAAUGCACGCCACACGAUAAUCACUCUGGCAUUGUGAGUGCUCGUAACUGACUUUGCUCAUUUACCAUCAGAUGACCCUUUUGCUCGUUUGCCGGCCUUCUGCGGUAAAAAUGUCAAACAAGUAUCAUAACGUAGAUAUUACAAUAUCUAUACAAUUAUCUAUAGUCAGAGACAGAACUUAUAAUAUUGUAUUUAUUUAUAUUUUUGCGUUGUUAAUAUUGAGCUUAAUUUAUAUUUUCACGUAUUGUAACCCCUGAUUUAGAUACUUGCCGAGUACAAACGAAUAGUCACGAAUACGAGUGUGUUAACAGCUUAUUCGGAUGUAUUCGUAUUCACAAUUCAUAGUCUAUAUUCGUGCACGAAUUAUUCCCCAAAUUAUUCUAAAUGAAGAAUAAGAUUCAAGUCCAACCCAGAGGGUCUGACUGGAUCAUACAUAUUUUUAAAUGUUUUAAUGUACCCAAUAGAGUAGCAAAGUUGGUUUAAUCUCGCGUCUGGCCUAGUUUUGCAACCUUGACGUAGGUACUCGCCGUUUCUAAUAAUAAUAACAGACACGUUUCCACAUCACGGAGAAGUGCCGAUUGGAUGGAUAAAUAAAUAUAAAAUAAUAUCGUCGGCCAGGUAUCCGGUCAUCUUACAAGACAUAAAGUGCGUAUACUAUAUAUUAAAUAAUUUUAAUUUCAUCGAUAUUCAGUUUAGUUCUAAUGUAGAGGAAAUUUCAACACAAUAUGAUGAAGAAAGCACUGUACAUUGCUAGUGUGUUUUAGGGUUUUUAGGUAACUUAUUUCAGAUUACACAUGUCAAUGUAAAAAGUGCAUCCGAGCACAGCGGAAGACAAGUUCGAAGAGUCACGAAUUGCGUUGCAAUAGUAAUUCACUAUUAGGAAUUUUAAGUAAAGGCUAAUUUUAACUGUCCUACGGCUGCUACCUUCACGAGAGCGAAUCGGAAAUGUUUGUGUCCCUACAAGGAACAUACCUGCUUGGUCAAGGAUUUGUUUGUGCUCAUUUGAUACAAGUUGCUUAUUAAAAUGUUGUAUUACACCAUUUCAAUUCAUUUCGAAUAAUAAUUAUUUUUCCGGCUCCAAUUUUUUUUAAUACAAAUAGACUAUCUUACAAAGAAUUAUACAAAUGUGUGAUCAGUGACUAACCAUUUUCCGGUAAGAUUUUAAGAAGUUACCUUAACAAUUAUUAAUAUUUACAAUUUUAUGUUUUCCUAAUAUUAGUACUUAUUCGUAAUAGAGGGAAAAACAACGUAACUCUUAUUAUUAAAAUAAUUACAUUUUCCCUUAACUUUUUUUUAAAAAGAAUUAUCACACUGCACAAAGUAAUCGUUUUAUGUCAAGAUUUCGCUUCUGCAAAAGGAACCUUGCUGUGUUUUAUCAAGAGCUGGAGUUAACAAUUUGCAUCGCUGAAGCGGCAGAUGCGGAGUCUAACAAAAACUUAUCUAGAAAAACAACUCACAAGUAUAAAUGAGUUCUAAUGACAUAAAUAUACGAAUGCCGGUGAUUUCAUAAUGAUAUGCAGUAACUAGCAUUACGUAAUGUGUACUAUUAACUCGAAUACUGAGAUGUAGGUGUUGCAUACGAAUCAAACCGUCUAUAACGAAAGCAUUGGACGCAGAGUGUUCUGCUGGCUUACUCUUGAUUACAAUUCCAAUCACUAGAUAUUGGAAUUUCAACGUUUCGUACUCUUGAGUUCAACACUAGCGCCAAAUUGGUUUAAGAUUGCGUGUCCAUUUUAGGGAACUAAAUGGAAUCGGGAUCGGGAUUGGCGAGACACAAAACGCUACUCUUGAUUUAAUUUGACAGCAGUAUAUUGCGUUAAUAUUGUGCACAAAUUGUUUGGCGAUUGUGAUUUUUCCAAUAACGAAAGUGUAACUUUUUUGAAAUUGUUUUGCGUUUUAAGUGGUUUUAACUUAAUAGUAAGUCUAUAAAAUGGCAAGAUUAGCAAUUAUGUACCAUAUUAUACGUAAAUCACAUGUAAGUGAAUUAAAACAAAGGCGAAAUGACCGUCGAAUGAUGCGAUACACAGAUCGAGCAUUUUCUAUGUGUGAAAACGAAUUUAUAGCUAAUUAUAGAGUUAGCAAAAAUUUGUUUCAAGAAAUAUACCAAAAUCUAAAGGCUUUUAUGCCAACGCCUAAAAGAAAAAGUGAUAUAUCGCCUAAGUUUAAGGUAAGUAAAUACGUUGCGUUAAGUAAAUGGUAGCAGUUACGUCUCAACUCAACAUUUAUAUUAUUAUUUAACUUACAGAUUUUAGUGGCAUUAUCAUUUUAUGCAACAGGCAGUUACCAAAAAUUAGUUGGUGGCACAUAUGGGACACUAAUGUCGCAGCAAUCUGUAUCUCGCGCCAUACGAGAUGUAACAGCAGCCCUUAACCAUCAACUAGUACUAAAUAAAUGGAUAAAAUUUCCUCAAACUCGCCAAGAAAGAGAUGCAAUAAAAAGGAGGUUUUAUGAAAAAUAUCAUAUUCCAUCCAUUUUAGGAUGUAUUGAUGGCACACAUGUAGCUAUAAUAAGACCCAAAGAAAAUGAAGAGAGAUAUUUUAAUCGCAAACAUUUUCAUUCCAAAAAUGUUAUGAUUAUGUUUCCUAUGGAGGAGCUACACAUGACAGCUUUAUUUGGAAUCAGCAUCCUGUAAAACAACAUUUAAUCAAUUUGAACAGUAAUGGAGAAAAUGUAUAUUUAUUAGGUGAUUCUGGAUAUGCACAGUGGGAAUAUAUGAUGACACCUAUAGUGGAUGCUCCUGUAGGGUCCCCGGAAGAGUAUUACACCAAGAUGCACUGCCAUGCUCGAAAUACAGUGGAGCGUACUAUUGGUGUACUUAAAAAUAGAUGGCGGUGCUUAUUACGGCAUAGGGUUCUACAUUAUCAUCCCGAUGUAGUGUCCAAAAUUAUCAAUGCUUGUUGUGUCUUGCAUAACAUAUGCAUUACCAAAUUAGAUAAUACAAUAAUAUAUCCUGAGGGGAAUUCCGAAGAUGAUGGACAUGACAACCUUAAUGUAAUAUUUCAACAUUUAACUGCUAGUACAGCAGCUGCUUACCUAAGGCGAGGCAUAGAAAAGAGAGCUGUUUUAGUUCAACAGUUGUGGGCACGUAGAAUGUAAGCAUGAAGUAUCAGUGAUGGUGGUAAAACUGCGAUUAGAUAUUUUUAAAUAUUUUUAGUUAUUAGGUACAGUUGAAAAUUUUAAUUAUUUUUUAUUACAUAGUAUUUUGAGAGCUAUUAAUGUAAUUAAUGAAUACUUAAAUCUCACACAUUUUUAUGCUAUAGGUAUAUUAUAGGUAGUUGAACAGUAGGAUAAACGUGCCAUUUAAAAAGGAACAACUUUAUCUAUACCUUUUAAGUUUAAUUGUUUUAUUAAUGAUAACAUACUAUUUUUUAUUUUUGUCAUUUCAUUGUGUUUAGAGAGAUUUUGUUUAUAUUAAAUGUCUUAAUGUUAUUAUUUUCAAUUAAGUAUAAUAUAAGGCAUAUAUGUAGUUUACUAGUUUUAAAUGUGAGAGACUUGAUUUGUCAUUAUUCUUAUAGCAAAAAUAAAAACUUCAUGUUGUAACUAGUUAACACUUAUAAGAUUUACUUUUUAAUUGAUUUUGUUAAUUUCUUUUAUCUUAGCUACUAUUCCUGACAUUGCAUGUUUUUUAACUUAAUUCCUGUUUCUUGUAUAACUUCUCAUAAAUGA